rnacentral:rRNA from 1 species
UACGGAGGAUGCGAGCGUUAUCCGGAUUUAUUGGGUUUAAAGGGUGCGCAGGCGGAUUUUUAAGUCAGCGGUCAAAUCGUGGGGCUCAACCCCAUCCAGCCGUUGAAACUGGGGAUCUAGAGUGUGCGAGAGGUAUGCGGAAUGCGUGGUGUAGCGGUGAAAUGCGUAGAGAUCGGGAGGAACACCAGUGGCGAAGGCGGCCUACUGGGCUUUAACUGACGCUGAAGCACGAAAGCGUGGGUAGCAAACAGG